GGCCGGUUGGCCCAAUGGCAAGGCGUCUGACUACGACUAAAAAAUCAAAGUCUCAAUCAGGAGAUUCUGGGUUCGACCCCCAGGCUGGUCA
rfam:Glomerella graminicola M1.001 genomic scaffold supercont1.54, whole genome shotgun sequence.